CUUUCACAUCUUAAAGUAUGUGGCGAAAAUGAUGAGACUUUGGUUCAGAACCAUUAGUCACCCUGCUGACAUGCCUGUCUGUCUCUAGCUUAUAAAUACAUCACUGUCAGUACACAGUGGGCGGGAGAGACAGGAAGAGAGGAAGAUGUCACAGGUGAAGGAAAUAAUGACGCAAAGGAUGGGUAGAGAAGAGCGAGACACACCUUAAAGAAUAAUAGUUGGGGGGAGAGUCAAAGUUAUAGACAACAAAUACUUGGCAUUUGGUGUGGUGUCUACAGUGGAAAAGAAUGGUGAUGGAACAGUUAUUUGUGGCUGUGCUAAUGAUGUCUGCACACCUAGCAGUCUCAUAUCCUCUGACUACAGGGAGAAAUUACAUGGAUGGAGGGAGACAAUGCAGACUGUGUCCACCAGGUCAUUAUCAGAAGUCCUGUUCAGAGUGCUCUCCCUGUCGAGAUGGUUCCUACACAACACGAUUGAAUGCUGAGUCCAGUUGUCAUUCCUGCUUUAAAGACUGCAAACAUGAUUUGCACCUGGUGGAGGAUGAGCCGUGUACUCCUGUAUCGGACGCUAGAUGUCGCUGUGAGGCUGGUUUUACCUGCACCGACAAAGACGACCAGACAGGAAACUGUAGAGACUGUGAGAAGAUCCCUCAGCUGCCCCCACCUCCCCUGCCACCUAGCAAUGUAGUGGGCAUCAGAAACAACCAGACAGGAACUUCCUCUGAACACAGCAGGACUUCCUCUUCCGCUGGACGCUGUCAACCUCCCAACUGUGACACUCCACGAUCACCAGUCUCACAAACAGGCAACGCCACUCAUCACACCACAGCUGACACCAGCAAACACUUGGCAGCCAUUUUGUGUCCUAUGGUGGUCAUUGGAAUCCUAGCCAUUAUCAUUCUGUUAUGUAUCCGUCGCCCAGGAAAUGAAGCCUGUUUCAAACAAGCUCUCAAGUUCUGUAACAAGGGAGUAAGAGAAACAUCGCCUAACAAGACCAAAGAGCCACCUCAUCAACACUGUUCCAGAGAGACACAGCCCAGUAUUAAGCACCAGACAGUGGAUCCACCACCUAUUACAGCAGCAAAUAUGGGCCCGGUCCAUGUCCACAAUGCUGGAACAGUCAUCUUCAGUUUACUCAACCAGUUCACUGGUAUGGGUGGAGGGAUGGAAGAGAGAGGGCAGAAAGAGAGGGAUGAGGAAGGAUGUCCGACCCACCCCACACCCUCCCCUAACAUCCAUCUAUCCCAGGAGGAAAGGGAUGGGGAGAUGGACUGUGUAUUCUUCCCUUCACAGGAACAAGGGAAGGACAGUCACAUUUCCAAAGAGGAGGUGCAUUGAGGGGAGGGGGAUUGAGGACAGAGGACGCACCAAGUGAAAGCUUCCCUUCUAGGAUCAGUUUAGCCAACCCUACAUCCUAAUGUUAAUCAUAAGGAGGAUUAAGACUUACCUUGGAUCAGUGGUAAGGGACAACAUCUACCUGGGGCUCUAUUCAGUCUGUAUCACUACAAAUUGCGUGAUAGGAACAGAGGUCAUUUCUGAAUGAGCCAACAUAUGCAGUGUUUAAUGUGAAAGCAGUCUCUUCUGACACAGGAACAUUGUCUUUACAUUUCUAUCAGGCUGUAAAGCUGCACUUCCACAAUACAGAUUGAAUAGAGCCCUUUUAUUUAACUAGACAGGUCAGUUAAGAACAAGUUCUUAUUUUCAAUGACUGCCUAGGAACAGUGGGUUAACUGCCUUGUUCAGGGCAGAACAACAGACUUUUACCUUGUCAGCUCAGGGAUUCGACCUUUUGGUUACUAGUCCAAUGCUCUAACCACUAGGCCACCUGCCACUCUUACUCUCAGAACAUCAGUGAAUCCCAGAACUCUAGAAUGGCCAUUAUUUCCUGUUCUAGACUUAGAUAGAGCUAGGCAUCUCACUAUGGUGGUCAUGUACACAUCCACUUGCUCUCAUUUUAUUGAACUGUAUAAAAAGCUUUGUCUCAACUGCUGCAAACUGUUUUUUUUCUGUGUUCAUGUGGCACCUUGAACUGUUUUUUUCACAAAUUAAAAGCAAAAUACGAAAUAUAAUUUUUCAAUGAAUACAGGUGAUGGGGCGAUUGUAUGACAUUACAGUAGGCCUGUAACAUUUGUGAUUCUGUUCUUUAAAAUACAGCCACUACUAUGUAAGAGUAAACACUGGCAUAAAGCAUAGAUACAGCAAAAAGCAUAAUAAUUGUAACGAAGGUGUAAAACAUCUUCAACAUAAACAUGUACAGUACAUGUAUUCAGCACACAAAUGAGUCUCUGUCUGUCUGUCUGUCUGUCUGUCUGUCUGUCUGUCUGUCUGUCUGUCUGUCUGUCUGUCUGUCUGUCUGUCUGUCUGUCUGUCUGUCUGUCUGUCUGUCUGUCUGUCUGUCUGUCUGUCUGUCUGUCUGUCUGUCUGUCACACUCUUCCAGUUACUCACACUCUUCCAGUUAAA
ensembl:lncRNA